AGCAUGGGAGACUGGAGGAUGGCUGCAUGAUUCAUAACCCUUCCACUGGCAUGGAGGGUACAAAAGGAUCAUGGGCUCAAUUUUGAAGGGCUGGUUUUGGGAGAGGGCUAUUGGUGUACUGAGACUCUGACAUUCUCCCAUGGGGGAUGAGGCACUUCUGCCAUUCCUCAAGUCAAGAGAGAGGCGAUUUAAGGAGAAGGCAAAAACUUAAUAUGGAGUUCUGAUGGUUUGGUGAGCAUCACAGGUGGGCCUUACACAAUCAGCUGAAUGUGCAAAUAGAGCAAAAAGACCAAAUUUCCUGAGCAAGAGAGAAUUCUUCAGCAGAUGCCCUUGGAUUUUAUUACAUCACCAGCUCUCUUGGGUCUCCAGCCUGUGGAUACACACUACAGAUUUGGGACUUGCCGGCCUCCACAAUCACAUGAGGGUCUUGCUCUGUCACCCAGACUGGAGCACAGUGGCUUGAUCAUGGCUCACUGCGGCUUUGACCUCCUAGGCUCAAGUGAUCCCCCUGCCUCAAUCUCCCAUGUAGAUGGGACUACAGGUACGUGCCACCUCACCGGCCAAUUUUUGCAUUUUUUGCAGAGAGGAGGUCUCAUUUUGUUGCCCAGGCUUGUCUCUAACUCCUGGGCUCAAGCAAUCCUCCAGCUUCAGCCUCCCAAAGUGUUUGGAUUAUAGGCAUGAGUCACUGUACCCAGCCUAUUAUCCUUUUAUAUAAUCUGCCUGAUCUUUUUUUAAAAAAAGAUAUUGAA